rnacentral:rRNA from 1 species
GAUGAACGCUGGCGGCGUGGAUAAGGCAUGCAAGUCGAACGUGAAAGUCGCCCUUCGGGGUGGCAAGUAAAGUGGCGAAUGGGUGAGUAACACGUGGGUAACCUACCUUCUAGUGGGGGAUAAGGGUCGAAAGCCCGGUAAUACCGCAUGUGGUCCCUAGGUCGCAUGGCCUGGGGAAGAAAGCGGGGGAUCUUCGGACCUCGCGCUAGAAGAUGGGCCCGCGCCCGAUUAGCUUGUUGGUGGGGUAAAAGCCUACCAAGGCUGCGAUCGGUAGCUGGUUUGAGAGGAUGGUCAGCCACACUGGGACUGAGAUACGGCCCAGACUCCUACGGGAGGCAGCAGUCUAGAAGCUUCGGCAAUGGGGGAAACCCUGACCGAGCGACGCCGCGUGCGGGAUGAAGCUUUUCGGAGUGUAAACCGCUUUCGCUGGAGAUGAAAGCUGGAGCAGUUAAUAGCUGGUUCAGUUGACAGUAUCCAGUAAAGAAGCACCGGCUAACUCCGUGCCAGCAGCCGCGGUAAUACGGGGGGUGCGAGCGUUAAUCGGAUCUAUUGGGCGUAAAGGGGGCCUAGGCGGCUAAGUAAGUCAGGGGUGAAAUCUGCACGGCUCACCCGGCAAAUUGCCCUUGAUACUGCUUGGCUCGAGUUCGGACGAGGGAAGCGGAAUUCCGUGUGUAGCGGUGAAAUGCGUAGAUNUACGGAGGAACACCAGUGGCGAAGGCGGCUUCCUGGGCCGACACUGACGCUGAAGCCCGAAAGCGUGGGGAGCGAACGGGAUUAGAUACCCCGGUAGUCCACGCCCUAAACGUUGCGCACUAGGUGUUGGGAGUAUCGGAACCGCCUUCCCAGUGCUGUAGUUAACGCAUUAAGUGCGCCGCCUGGGGAGUACGGUUCGCCAAAGAGCUGAAACUCAAAAGAAAUUGACGGGGGCCCGCACAAGCGGUGGAUCAAUGCCGGUUUAAUUCGAUGCAACGCGAAGAACCUUACCAGGGCUUGGACAUUCACCGAAAGGUACCAAUGGCCCUUCUUUGGAAACGUAGAGGCUUAGGNGAGACAGGUGUUGCAUGGCUGUCGUCAGCUCGUUUCGUGAGAUGUUGGUUAAGUCCCGCAACGAGCGCAACCUUAUCCGCUGUUGCCAUCAGGUCUUGACGUGGGCACUUGCGGAAACUGCCGGUGACAAACCGGAGGAAGUGGGGACGACGUCAAGUCAUCAUGGCCCUUACGUCUGGGUACACGCGUGAUACAAUGGGUAGUACAAAGCGUCGCGAGACCGAAAGUGGAGCAAAUCGCAAACUGCCCUCAGUUCGGAUUG